UAAAUGCGGACAGUAAAUAUCCAAAUCAGGCAAUAUUUCUAAUUAAUUUCUCUCGACCGACUCUCUCUAAUAAAUGUUGACAGUCAAAAUCCAAAUCUGGCAAUAAUUAUAGAAUGCGUGAAAGUGAAGCUGUCCGAUUAACCGCCUUUGUUGAAUGAAAUAAAUCUUAACCGUGCGUCGUCAUUCCCUAUUUAAUUUCAGCCUUCCACCUCCUCUGUAUAUACAACUCCUCUUCGAAUCAAUCCAAGUGGUUCUGGCAGUAGUAGGUGGUUUGUUGUCGGGUAACAUUGUUUUGAUGACGGCGCUUUUGGGUAUCGAUUUGGUAUUUCGGGUAAUAAAUACAUCGUUUGGAUUUGGUAUCAUGAAAAUCAGCUUGUUGACUCCGUAGAGAGGACUCUGAUUCGUGUUAUUCUUGAGCAGAAAUCGUGGUGUGAACUGGGGUGAUCAUCAGAUGACUUGGUUCGCUUAAUAUUGAAUGAUUGUUUAAACUUCGUUUUACCUUUCUUUUUUUAAUUAGCAAAAGAUUGAAAAAAAAUUGGUCUUUUUAGGUCUCAGUGUGUAUUUUGUAAUAUAUUUAUAUUUGUUGAUUUCAUGCCUUUUGAAUCCUCGUUGAAAAGUGGGUUUUCUUGAUUUAUGCCUCUUUGAGUUUUGGUUAAAAAUAUUGAAACGAUGGUGUUUCUUUUGUCAUAAACUUCGUAAUAUUGUGGGUUUUAAAGGUUGCUUGUGCUGCUAAUAUUGGAUAAUCGGUUAUUUAAAAUCUCACUCUACAUUUCUCUAUUUUUUGCCUCGUGAAUCUUGAUUAUGUUGGAUUUUGAGUGUGGAUUGUGUGAUUUCGAUCUUCUUAUGGAGUGAGACGUGGCUAAAAAUAUUAUAGAAGGAUUUUGUUGAGUCCGCCCCUAAAAUUUUUCAUUGGACUUUCUAACAGCGGUGUGCUUUUUAGCAUCGCUUAUGUCGCUAAAAGAUUGAAAAAUUGGUUUUCAUAGGUCUCAGUGUACCUUUUCUCAAUAUGCUUGUUGAUUUGAAGCCUCCUGAAUUCUGGUUGAAAAGUGGGUUUUCUUGAUUUUAUGCCUCUUGAGUUUUGGUUAAAAGUAUUGAAAUAAACUUGGCAAUAUUGUGGGUUUUGAAGGUUGCUUGUGCUGCUAAAAUUGAAUAAUCGGUUUUCUUAAAUCUCACUCUACAUUUCUUGAUUCUGUGCCUCCUGAAUCUUGAUUAUGUUGGAUUUUGAGUGUGGAUUGUGUGAUUUCGAUCUGCUUAUGGAGCGACGUGGCUAAAAAUAUUAUGAAAGGAUUUUAUUCAGUUUGUCCCUAAAAUUUUUCAUUGGACCUUCUAACAGUGGUGUGUUUUUUAGCAUUGCUUAUGUGGCUAAAAAAUUGAAAAAUUGGUUUUCAAAGGUCUCAGUGUACUUUUUUAAUAUGUUUCCUGCCUCCCGAAUCCUGGUUGAAAACUGGUUUUCUUGAUUUUAUGCCUCUCGAGUUCUGGUUAAAAGUAUCGAAAAAUGAUGGUUUCUCUUUUGUCAUUAAACUUCAUAAUAUUGUGGGUUUUAAAGGCUGCUUGUUCUUCUAAGAUUGAAUAAUCGAUUUUGUUAAAUCUCACUCUACAUUUCUUGAUUUUAUGCCUCCAUGUUGGAUUUGAGUGUGGAUUUGUGUGGUUCCUAUCUUCUUAUGGAGCUCGUGGCUAAAAAUAUCACAAAAGGGUUUUACUGAGUAUGCCCUUAUAUUUGUCAGUAGACUUCUAACAGUGGUGUGUUUUUUUAGCAUUGCUUAUGUAGCUAAAAGAUUGAAAAACUGGUUUUCGUAGGUCUUAGUGUACAUUUUUAAUAUGUUUGUUGAUUUUAUGCCUCCUAAAAUCUUGGUUGAAAAGUGAGUUUUCUUGAUUUUAUGCCUCUUGGAUGCUGGCUAAAAGUUUUGAAAUGUUGGCUUUUCUUUAAUCUUUGUCAUUACACUUCCUAAUAAUGUGGGUUUUACGGGUUGCCUGUGUUGCCAAAAGAUUCAGUAAUUGGUUUCUCGAUUUUAUGCCUCCUGAAUCUUGAUUAUGUCAAAUUUGGUGUAGAUUGUGCUUUCUAUUUUCAUAUGGAGGACAUGUGACCAAAAAUAUCAGAGAAGGAUUUAUUGAGUUUGACCCUAAAAUUUGUCACUGGAAUUCUUAAAAGCCGUGUGUUUUAAGUAUUGCUUGUGUGGCGAAAGAUGGAAAAGUCUGCCGGUUUUGCAGUUGGCAUGAGAAUGGGUGGAUAGGAGGGUCCUUGGGUUUAUGCAGGUUGGCUAGAACAAAGCCUGCUCCUUACUGUGAAUAGAGGCAGAGGUUAAUAUCAGUUUCACAAAACACAUAAGCAUUUCUGAUUCUUAGUUAAAAACAUUGAAAAAUGGAUUUUCAUGAAUCUCAUUUUAAAACUUUUCAUUUCACUUCUUGAUAAUUUUGGGUUUGAGGACAAUAUUGAAAAUUCAAUUUUAUUAGAUAUCCUUGUGGAGACGAUGAUUGUUCCGAGACUGAUGGAUGCCCAGGAUUUCAUUAGAUUUUGGACCAAAAUGUGUGCUAAGAUUUAAAAAUUAUCCUAAAUCUUACUCCACAAAUUUUGUAAUUUGAUUCUUUCUUUCUUGUAAUUCGAUUCUUGAUACUGGUGGAUUCUCUUAGUGUUUGCAGAGUGUUACCUAUCCAAGGUUCCACCAGCAUAUGGAGAUAUGGGUUCCUAACAUUGGAAUGAUGGGUUUCCUUACAUCUUUGUCUACAAAUUUUUUAUCUAAUCAACUGCUUUCUAAUGUUGAUGGUUUUGGUAUUUGGUUGUGUCCCUGUUUAGGAUUCCACAAGCUCAUGGAGAUUUGUGUUGUAAGAUCGAAAAAAUCGGUUUUCUUCACUGUACAAUUUGUUUUCUAUUUAAUAUUGUCUAAUAGUGGUGGAGUUUAAGUAUUGAUUGUGGUAUUUUUCAGGAUUCCAUAUGCUUGUGGUUCAAUAUGAUAGAGGACCUUUCUUCUGCUUUUAUGAUCAGGGACUUUGCCAUCUAUCUCGCUAUUUUUUGGUGCUCGCAUGGGAUUUCUGGUCACCAUUAAUAUAAUUUAUAAGCACUAGUCAAGAUGGCGAAUUUAAGUUGAUCUUGUCGUAUGUGUUUGUUUCCUCAGGGUUAAACACUUUGAUCUGGAUGAAUGUGUAAGAUUAGUUUAGUGUUUUGUGCCUUACAAUAGCAUUUUCUUUGACUCUUUACUAAAUAAAAUUGAUAGAGUGAUUCAGUUUGAUUUUGUGCAAUAUUUGAUUUCAGUUCAGAGUUUUAUAGACUGGCUUCUUGAUUUGAUUCUUUUUCAAGUUUCAUUUUAUUUCCAAUAAGAUUUAAGGCUAUCGAUUUUGUUAGAUUCUAACCAAACAAGUAUUAUUGGAACUAUAUCUGGUUGUUUUAUGGUGAUGGCUUGAUUGAGGGGAGUUAGAGGUUUCACACAGAACGGCUAUUGAUUUGGGGACGUGACAUUGGGGUAAAAUCUGAUUCUUGCUGUUUUUGUUGAUGGUGUGCUAGGGCCUUGAUCAUGGAUGCAUACGUUCUUGUCCCAUUCUGCUUCUCUUUUCCAUAAUUUGGUUUUAGCUCUUGGGUUAUGUGAUAUGAUUAUCAACUAGCAAUUGAAGUACUGUAUAUUAACUAGUUUUUUAAUUGGUUAUUCGACAAUUUUGCUCUGUGAUCUAAAACUAGGAUCAGACAUUUGGUUCCUUUUUUUCCAGGAGUCAUCUUCAUUCUUCUCACAAGAGUAUGUUUAAGAUCGCGAGAAGGGGCAUGGAAAUUGCUCCUUUUUCAUGGGGAUUUACCCAUCGCACAGAUGCAGUUUUCUUUCAUUUUAACUCAACAAUUUGUGAUGCAAUGCUCAUCUAAUGUUCCGUCAGCAUGUGGAGAUGUAUAUUCUUGAUGGUGAUAGAUUUUGAAGUACUGAUCUCACUUUGCACUUUGUGGUUUUUGGACUCUUUAAACUGAUGGAGCUUUGAGUAUUGGUAAUGUGGUGUUUCUUUUUCAGGAUUCGAUCGGCUGGUAUUCAUGGUCAAUAUAUAUGGUGGCUUUGUUGUGCUUUCAUGAUUAGGCAAUGAUAGCUGUCCUUCUUAUGUUGUUCUAUGUUUUAGUCUUUUUAAUAUAUUUUAAAAUCAUUACUGGACAUGGUGAAUUUAAGCAGGGUUAGAUGUUUGCAUUUCCCAGGUUUGGCAUUUUAAUAGGAUGGAUGUUUAAGAUUGACCCGGAACAUUUUUUCGUCUUAGAUAUUGAUUUUAUCCUUUGAUUGUACUCUUUUUUUUUUCAGAUAGGAAGCAUCAUUAUUAAAUAAUAAUUUUUUAUUCGAUUGUUGGUUUGAAUUGAACAGAACCCUACUUUCUAAAUUCUGUUAUUGGAAUACCUUUGGACGAUUAGCAUUGCGGCAUUGCAUGUAUUUACAUGCAAUAUGGUAUUAGGUGAAUGUAUUUACAUCUGUUUUUCUUCUUUUGGUUUUCCUGUUCUUUCUUUUUGCCUCCAUCAGUUUCCUUGAUUGAUAUAUAGCCAGAGAAGGCAGGACUAAUGACUUUUCACCAGGAAUGUUCCAACCAAACUUGAAGUUGAGAUGCCAAGACUUUUGAUAGAACUUAACUUGGUUUGAGUUCAACCAUCUGUUUUCUUUCUCGACCACAAAACUUGGUUUGAGUUCAAUCAUCUGUUUUCUUUCUCGACUACAAACACAUUUCUUUAGCCAAACUCAUUUCUACAGUGCUAUUAUUUGUCUGAUAUGUCAUCAUUUUUAUGUAUUUGGUCCUCCUGUUGGUGCUGCCAUUCAAGCAUCAGCUAUCUCUCCAGAUUCUGCUGUGGCUAGGAUAAUCUCUGGGUGAAGAGUGAAGGUUUUAUCAAGAGCAAUGGGCAGCCUCAUGAUUUCAGUAAGUUAUUUGCUUUCCAGGAGUCAUCCUCAAUCUUCUCACGAGGAUAUGGCCUAAGUUUGGAAAAAAAAAAGGUUAUCUUUUUUGUUUGAACUCGGCAAGAGUGAUUUGAUGCUCAUCCUAGAUAGUAUGGUGGAUUUCGUGUGCUUCCAGAACUUGACAUUUGAAAAAUUGGCUUGAAUCUCGCCUAAAAUUUGCCGUUACACUUCCUAAUAUUGUUGAUGUUGGGUUUGAGCUUGUUAUUGCGGCUAAAAGAUUGAAAAAUUGGUUUUCGUAGUUGAACUAAUGCCUCUUAAGUUCUGAUUCUGUUGGAUUUGGAAUGUGUGGGUGAUGCAGUUUUCGUAUGUGGCUAAUAAUAUCGAAUUAUGGUUUUAUCAGCUUUCACCUUAAGAUUUGUCAUUACACCUUGAUAGCAUUCAGUUUUGAGGGUUACUUGUGGCUAAAGGAUUGAAAAAUCGGAUUUUGAGCAUUGGUUGUGUGAUUCUCGCCUUAAGAUUCUUCAUUACACCUUGAUAAUGUUCGGCUUGAGAGUUGCUUGUGUGGCUAAAAGAUUGAAAAAUUGUUGUUCUUUUCCGACCGCCCUGUAAUCAAUUGGGGAUUUUGAAAAUUGUUGUGACUUCAAAGAUUCCAUCAGCUUGUGGAACGAUAUGUGUUACAAGUUAGUAAUGUGCCCACAAUUCCAUCAGUUUGUGGAGCAAUAUUCGUGAAAAAUGGAUUUUUCCAGAUCUUACAUUUCACCAGCUUCUGUUUGCUUGUACUGUAACUAAAUAUCUGUUUGCUUCAACAUGAUGAAUUUCAUCUUGA